GCGGGUGUGGCCGAGUGGCUAGGCACCGGCCUGCAAAGCCGUUCACGUGGGUUCGAAUCCCGCCAUCCGCUCAA
rnacentral:tRNA from 2 species